GACAGAGGGCCCAAGCGUUAGUCGGAAUCACUGGGCUUAAAGCGUGUGUAGGCGGAUUUGUAAGUACCUUGUGAAAUCCCACGGCUCAACCGUGGAACUGCUUAGUAUACUGCUUAUCUUGAGCCAUCUAGGGGCGAGCGGAACAAACGGUGGAGCGGUGAAAUGCGUAGAUAUCGUUUGGAACGCCAAUGGUGAAAACAGCUCGCUGGGGAUGUGCCGACGCUGAGAUACGAAAGCCAGGGGAGCGAACGGG
rnacentral:rRNA from 1 species